CUUGGCUUGUUUCUGGAGUGGAUGGAGAAUGAGAUGGGAUGGGAGGAGAACAAUGGAGAGGAUUUGAGUUUUAGGGUUCCUUCUUUCAGUUUGGGGUUGACGAAAGCAGAAGGAGAAGGACCAAAUUGUGAGUUUUGUCAUUGAAAUUUGGUGAGGCCAGCGUAUCUCCAAGCUCAGUAGCAGCACCACCCAAUUCACGACCGAGUCAAAGAAAAUUAACCAAGCCCUUGCUUCUAGCAGCCCGGAGAUUCGAGAGGAAGAAUAGUUUCUGAUGCAAAGGGGUGAGAGGAAAGGCGUUGCAUAGUGGAUCAUGGAAGAGACAACACACAAACACAAUCAUCCUUUUUCUUCUCUAUCUCUCCUAUUCUAUGCUGGCUCCAUGACUCAAAUGAACGUCCUUUUGAUCGAGUGAAAACGAAUGUGACAAAUUUGCAGAUCAUUUUGUAACAAUCUUAGAUUGAUGGCUGGUUAUUAUUAUAUUAAAGAAAAGGGAAAAAA